rnacentral:rRNA from 1 species
CCUACGGGUGGCUGCAGUCGAGAAUUUUUGGCAAUGGGGGAAACCCUGACCAAGCGAUGCCGCGUGCGGGAUGAAGGCCUUCGGGUUGUAAACCGCUGCAUAAAAAUAUGUCUAUUCGCAGAGGAAGUGAGGGCUAAGCUCGUGCCAGCAGCCGCGGUAAGACGAGCCUCACGAACGUUAUUCGGAAUUACUGGGCUUAAAGGGUGCGUAGGCGGCGCGGACAGUUGGGUGUGAAAUCCCUCGGCUUAACCGAGGAACUGCGCCCAAAACUACCGUGCUUGAGGGAGAUAGAGGGGAGCGGAACUUACGGUGGAGCGGUGAAAUGCGUUGAUAUCGUAAGGAACACCCGUGGCGAAAGCGGCUCACUGGGUCUUCUGACGCUGAUGCACGAAAGCUAGGGGAGCAAACGGGAUUAGAUACCCUUGUAGUC